AUGAGGCAAAUAAAGAAAAAGCCAAUAUUAAAGUUUGUAUCCUUCAGGUUCAAACGGAAAAAGAGAGACUCAAUGGAAAUCAUGAAGCUUGAACUGCUCAAUAAGAUGGAACAUGUAAAAAGGCUGUUAAAUGAGGCAAAUAAAGAAAAAGCCAAUAUUAAAGUUUGUAUCCUUCAGGUUCAAACGGAAAAAGAAAGACUUGAAGACAUUUUAAGCAAGAUUUUCUUAACACAUAGUGAACAAAAAGUCAAGGAAGAUGACCUCAGAAGACAAACAAAAGAACUGGAAAUGAAGAAGAAGCAAUUACAGAGUGAAAGAGAAAAAGUGGAGAGUCUGAUGAGGAAUCUCAACAAGAAGCAAGAAGAGCUUGAACGUGCAAAGGAAAUCAUGAGUGAAGAAAAAGAAGAGGUGAAACAGAUGAAGACUGACAUUGCCAAAGAACGAGAACUGUUGUUGAAGGAAAGGAGAAAUAUGGAAGAAGAGCGGUCUGAGAUGGAAAUGAGAGGAGACCAAGUCAUGGAUGAAAUGAAAUCACUAGAGAUUCUGAAAGUGAAACUUCAACAACUGAAGCAGCAUAUAAAAGCUAAAACGGACAGAUUACUACAAAAUGUUGACAACAGGUCCAUGCUGCAAACAGUGUUGGAAGAAAAACUUACAACUCAAGACAAACAGAAAGAAAACAUUUGCUAUUUCACUGAAAUGUUAGAGAGGAAAGGAAGGUGUGAGAAUAUCCUUUCAGACAUGAUCACCAAGAGAGAAUGCACAGAAAAAGAAUGGAAGCAGCAGUUUGAACUGGACAAACGAGAUCUUGAUAAACGGAAAGAAGAUCUGAGACAAGACAGAGAAGAUCUGGAGAGAGAAAGUGAGGUGCUGAAUAAAGAGAAAAUGGAUUUGAAGCUGUUGAUGUCUGACAUGAAGAAACAAUUUGAAAUAUUGGAAGAAAAGAGACAAAAUGUAAAAGAAGAGAGAGACUCAAUGGAAAUCAUAAAGCUUGAACUGCUCAAUAAGAUGGAACAUGUAAAAAGGCUGUUAAAUGAGGCAAAUGAAGAAAAAGCCAAUAUUAAAGUUUGUAUCCUUCAGGUUCAAACGGAAAAAGAAAGACUUGAAGACAUUUUAAGCAAGAUUUUCUUAAACAUAGUGAACAAAAAGUCAAGGAAGAUGACCUCAGAAGACAAACAAAAGAACUGGAAAUGAGAAGAAGCAAUUACAGAGUGAAAGAGAAAAAGUGGAGAGUCUGAUGAGGAAUCUCAACAAGAAGCAAGAAGAGCUUGAACGUGCAAAGGAAAUCAUGAGUGAAGAAAAAGAAGAGG
rnacentral:lncRNA from 1 species